rnacentral:sRNA from 1 species
AUCCCCUCCUAUAUAGAGCCGAAAAUAAUUUGAACAUAAACAGGAAUUAUUGCCAGCCAACAACAGGACAAGCAGCAGGAGCAGCAGGAGCAGCAGAGGCAGACGGAGGCCAACAGCAACAUAAGAAAUAACAAGGCCAAGACACAGAGAAAACUUUAAAUUCCCUCAAAUAAGCCAAGAAAGGACAGAGAGCGAGAGAGAGAGAGAGAAAGCCGUGCAGCAGGCGGCGGGGAAAUAAAUAACAACAAAGUUGUCAUAAUAAAAAUACAUAAAUAAAAGCUGAGGAAUUUAUGCCACAAUAACAACGGGGCAGCCCAAGCGGCAGCGGCAGCAGCAGCAGCAGCAGCAACAGCAACAGCAACAGCGGAAGCAGCAGCACCACCGGAAGUAGUUCCAGAACAAGUUGGAAAUCUGGACAUAUUUGUGAUUCGGUGCGUUACUGCUGUUGCCUGAUUUCCAAGGCUCAUACGAUCGGAAUUUAUACUCUCUCUGCAUAAGCGCACCUUCAGAAGUAAAGUGGGAUUUCAAAAUGUUAAACACUAUUGUUUUAAACGCUGAUAUUCCUUUACUGAUGAAAAUUCUCAUAUGUCAGUGCGGAUCUGACACACUGAGGCCGGCUUCGGCUCUGGCUCGUCUUUGGCUCCUCUUUGGCUCCUCUUUGGCUCCUCUUUGGCUCGUUGUGGUAAAAACUGACGGCAAGGCGCCGAAGGUGUGACCACCAGAAAGCCAGACAGACGACAGGCACAUAUUUCAGAGCCGGGCAGGGCAUCGCUUACUUGGCCAUUGGCCUAAUGAGAAAUUAUGGCCGCAUCUACUCGUACGAGAAGCUCGGGCACUCCGGACGUAUGGCCCGGCCCGGCCCGGCUCGGCCUAUACUUUGCGGCUGCUGGCCAAUGCCAAUCUGUCCCUGCCCAGCUCUGUCCUGCCCUGCCCUGUUGUCUGCCCUGCCAUGCCCUGCCCUGUAGUCUGCUCUAAUUAUGCUAACCACUUGCGCAAACUUGGACUUGGGGACAGCGGCCCGAAGAAGUUUCCGAGCUCUGACGGGGGCCACAUCAAAGCAAAAGAUUUAAUUAAAAAUUUGAUAACUUGGUCGCUCUGCGGUAUGGUACCUUUUUACUUUUUUUCUUUUGUUUUUUUGUUGAUGUUGUUUUUUACUUUUUUGGCGUAGCUGCUGGCCAUCAUCUGCAGAUUCCAUCAUCAGAAAUUUAAUCAAGACUAAAAGUUGGACCAGGCCAGAGCCAGAGCCAGUCCCCACUCGGAUAAUGAGAAUCUACUCAUACCCUCCUCAGAGGUACGCCAAAGACAGUUCCAAAAUAAAUUGUUUACUGUUACGGAAAUGUAAUUUGCGGUUGAUUUUCUGUAUAUGGGAAUACUCCCAUGCAUGUACAAUGUAAAGAAUCCCUUGAA